rnacentral:rRNA from 1 species
GAUCCUGGCUCAGGACGAACGCUGGCGGCGUGCCUAACACAUGCAAGUCGAGCGGGGGAAGAGGAGAUAGCUUGCUAACUCCUGUUUCUAGCGGCGGACGGGUGAGUAACGCGUGAGCAACCUGCCUUUAUCAGGGGGAUAACGCAUCGAAAGAUGUGCUAAUACCGCGUAAGACCACAGCCUCACAUGGGGCAGGGGUCAAAGGAGCAAUCCGGAUAAAGAUGGGCUCGCGUCCGAUUAG